rnacentral:rRNA from 1 species
CGGAGGGUGCGAGCGUUGUCCGGAAUCAUUGGGCGUAAAGGGCGCGUAGGUGGCCUGGCAAGCGUGCGGUGAAAGCUCGGGGCUCAACCCCGAGUCGGCCGUGCGAACUGCUGGGCUCGAGCACUGUAGAGGCAGGCGGAAUUCCGGGUGUAGCGGUGGAAUGCGUAGAGAUCCGGAAGAACACCGGUGGCGAAGGCGGCCUGCUGGGCAGUGGCUGACACUGAGGCGCGACAGCGUGGGGAGCAAACAGGAUUAGAUACCCUGGUAGUCCACGCCGUAAACGAUGGGCACUAGGCGCUUGGGGGAGCGACCCUCCGAGGGCCGGCGCUAACGCAUUAAGUGCCCCGCCUGGGGGGUACGGCCGCAAGGCUG